CAAGAGCGUAUGUAAAAGUUGUUGCAGUUAAAAAGCUCGUAGUUGAACCUUGGGUUUGGUUGGCCGGUCCGCUUUUUUGCGAGUACUGGAUUCAACCGAGCCUUUCCUUCUGGCUAACCAGUCGUUUCGGCGGCUGGCGAACCAGGAUUUUUACUUUGAGAAAAUUAGAGUGUUCAAAGCAGGCAUUAGCUUGAAUAUAUUAGCAUGGAAUAAUAGAAUAGGACGUUAUGGUUCUAUUUUGUUGGUUUCUAGGACCAUCGUAAUGAUUAAUAGGGACGGUCGGGGGCAUCAGUAUUCAGUUGUCAGAGGUGAAAUUCUCGGAUUUACUGAAGACUAACUACUGCGAAAGCAUUUGCCAAGGACGUUUUCAUUAA
rnacentral:rRNA from 1 species